rnacentral:rRNA from 1 species
GAGGAAUAUUGGUCAAUGGACGGAAGUCUGAACCAGCCAAGUAGCGUGCAGGAUGACGGCCCUAUGGGUUGUAAACUGCUUUUGUAUGGGGAUAAAGUUAGGGACGCGUCCCUAUUUGCAGGUACCAUACGAAUAAGGACCGGCUAAUUCCGUGCCAGCAGCCGCGGUAAUACGGAAGGUCCAGGCGUUAUCCGGAUUUAUUGGGUUUAAAGGGAGCGUAGGCUGGAGAUUAAGUGUGUUGUGAAAUGUAGACGCUCAACGUCUGAAUUGCAGCGCAUACUGGUUUCCUUGAGUACGCACAACGUUGGCGGAAUUCGUCGUGUAGCGGUGAAAUGCUUAGAUAUGACGAAGAACUCCGAUUGCGAAGGCAGCUGACGGGAGCGCAACUGACGCUUAAGCUCGAAGGUGCGGGUAUCAAACAGGAUUAGAUACCCUGGUAGUCCGCACAGUAAACGAUGGAUGCCCGCUGUUGGUACCUGGUAUCAGCGGCUAAGCGAAAGCAUUAAGCAUCCCACCUGGGGAGUACGCCGGCAACGGUG